rnacentral:rRNA from 1 species
ACGAAGGGUGCAAGCGUUAAUCGGAAUUACUGGGCGUAAAGGGUGCGUAGGCGGUUCGUUAAGUCUGUCGUGAAAUCCCCGGGCUCAACCUGGGAAUGGCGAUGGAUACUGGCGAGCUAGAGUGUGUCAGAGGAUGGUGGAAUUCCCGGUGUAGCGGUGAAAUGCGUAGAGAUCGGGAGGAACACCAGUGGCGAAGGCGGCUACCUGGACCAGCACUGACACUGAGGCACGAAAGCGUGGGGAGCAAACAGGA